AUUGAACGCUGGCGGCAGGCUUAACACAUGCAAGUCGACCGGAGCGAGGGUGCUUGCACCUUAGCUUAGCGGCGGACGGGUGAGUAAUGCUUAGGAAUCUGCCUAUUAGUGGGGGACAACAUUCCGAAAGGAACGCUAAUACCGCAUACGUCCUACGGGAGAAAGCAGGGGACCUUCGGGCCUUGCGCUAUCAGAUGAGCCUAGGUCGGAUUAGCUAGUUGGUGGGGUAAUGGCUCACCAAGGCGACGAUCCGUAACUGGUCUGAGAGGAUGGUCAAUCACACUAGGAGCAAGACACGUUCCAGACGCCUACGGGAGGCAGCAGUGGGGAAUAGUGGACAAUGGGCGAAAGCAUGAGCCAGCAAUGCCGCGUGUGUAAAGGAGGUCUUCGGAAUGAAAAGCACUUUAAGUUGGGAGGAAGGGCAGUAAGUUAAUACCUUGCUGUUUUGACGUUACCGACAGAAUAAGCACCGGCUAACUCUGUGCCAGCAGCCGCCGUAA
rnacentral:rRNA from 1 species